AGCCAAGUGACUGAAACGCCAUCUGUCACUGUGAUGCUGCACAUGUCCGUGGUCGGCUGCUGGAGGACGCGUCAGCCUCAGGUUUGCAUAGCCAAGAAUCAUGAUCUGUGGACCACAAAAGACUGAGGCUUGUCAAUGCUGCUCAACAGUUUGGAUCCAGUUGAAGACUUGGGAUUUUCCUGAAGAUAGAAUUCACCUUGGAGUCAGGUCACCGUGAUAGCCUUUUACCAUCUUAGAGCUAACAUAAUAUUUUGUGGGCAAUAACCUUGCGAACUGCACAGAGAUUUCAAGUUGAUUAUUUGACUGCCCAAUUGUUUCAAGCUCUGAAAUUGUCAGAUACUUACAAGCACCAUGUGCUGAAAACGACCAACUGCUGCAGUGCUCACAAGGGUCUGUUUUGAUUGGUGGCUUUACUCAGCCAUGUUUCUGUUUUUCAAAGCCCA
rnacentral:lncRNA from 10 species